GGUCCCCGGCUAUCACUUUGUCUCCACCCACGAAGAGGAGGAGGACGGAGCCGAGAAAAUAGAUAGGUCAGGUGACGCGGAGGGAAGGGAUACACAGGGGGAGAGAAAACGGAAGACUUCCAUGCGCGAUGGGGGAAUCCCGCGCGCGCAAGAAAUGAGACGACGCUGAUGACUGACAGAGAGUAGCAGUUUCGGGGGAAACGUAUACCUAUUAUUUUUCUAGGAAUACGAGUGGGAUAUACGUAGGAAAAAAAAAACGUUGUAAACGCAUUAAUCUAACAAAAGCUAAUAAUAAAUAAUUGAGAAGACAAGGGAGAAGAAAAUAUUGGACACAAACAGGGAAUGACAUAUUUCACGAAGGCGUCCUUUCGCGUUGGCAGGCGAUGGAGCCCAGGAAGAUUUACAGGGGAGGUGCUGAACGAUCGUGAAUUAUGCGGCGUUGAUCGCGCCGCGUUCGGGGAGGCGGCCGCGGCAUCGUUUUACGGUAUCUGGAACAUCUGUAAGCAGGUGUCACCGGCGACGAGACACGCACCGCACUUGCACAUUUGGUGCAUGACGCUGGCUGGGUUACAGAGAGCUAGAGGAUCACACGAGGAAGACAGGCGCUACCGGCUGCCGCGUCUCGUCGACACCGAAACAGCUGUUGGCCGCCGUCGUGUGUCGGCCUAAGUGGCCUCAUGCCCAUUAUAAUUUGCGAGAAUUUAUAGGAACGGGGGUACAGAGGGCGGUUGACGCGAGCGAACGUAUAUCGCAUUCCGUCUUCGAGCGUGCGAAUUUAUACAGAAUAUUAUAAUUGCCGCCGAUGUUUGAAGCACGCGGUCCCAAAAUGUCCUCUACAAACGUCAGUUUUUGGGCAAUCUAUAAACCAGGUGUGCAAAACUGCUCCGACAUUUUUUACAUUAUUGCUUUUUUUAUCACUAUUACAUUUGCUUUCUUAUAUUAUUAUAUUACGUCGCGUUCUUAGUUAUAUAUAAAUAAUUAUUUUAGAAAAUUAACAGAAAAAUAAAAAGAAAAUUUUUAAUACUUUUAUGAUUUUAGGCUACCCCUGUUUUCAUUUCUUACGGUAAAAUUUACGUUUGAUAAAAUUUUUAAAUAGAUCUUUCUAUGUCACAUAUCAUCACGCGUUGGACAUACAAUUUUAAGCCGAGCUUUCGCAAAGUAAACGCAUCGGUUUCCCGUUUUCUGCCUCUCGUUUCGACUUUGUUUCAGCCACGCUAAAUGCGCCGUAGCCACGGAUGUGUAACGAGAGAGACUGUCUCGGGUGCCUGUUCCUUUCGGUUUUCGAAAUUUGGCACACGACGGAUGAUUUUAGCUGCAUUCGUUCGGGAAGGAGAGUCGCCCUCGCCCCGCUGGCGCCGGCACGGCAGAGAGCUCGCAUAAUCGAGCGUAUCUCCCCGCAUCUCCACCCCGGGAUAUUACGUUUCCUGCCAGAAAAGUGUCGAGCAACCCCCGUUACGCCCCUCGUCCGCCCGGUCCGACCGACGACCGAUCCGUGAAUGAAAAUUCCUCAAACGCAACCGCGAGUCUUUGGCAGCCCUGCGCUCUUGUCAUUUCAAUUUACGUCGAAGAACUAUCUUAAUUAACCGCCCAGUUUUAAAAUAUCAUGAUGUGCAUAAUAUACAAAUUAUAAAUGCACACCCAAACUAAUUAAAGAUGAAUCUUUUUUUAGUCGUGGCUUUUGAUCCUACAAUUUCAAGUUCAUUAAACUGUGAGUCGAAUAAAUUUUGCGAUAUUGAGGCACAGUUCUAAGUUGAACAAGAAUGGAAAUAUUUAAUUGAUAAUCAAUUUAAUAUAAUGAUGUUAACCAUAUCGUGCUAUCUCAUCCUAUAUAGGAAUUGAAUCUCCCCAUUUUCCGAAACGGGCGUCUCAGCCAAUUCAAUCCCUGAAAUAAGGUGAUGAUAUUUAUAAAAUUAUACGAGAAAUAUUAGUACCAAGAUCCCCAGCUGAAUAAAGCUCUUUUAUUGUUUUCACUUUCGUCGAUCCGUAUGUUCUUACGAUUUAUAGAUUAUAGUUGAAUGUAAGUUGUAGACGUAAACUUUAGAAAUUGACAAAGCUUACCAGAAAAAAUCGAGAGGAGCUUUAAUAAUAAGCUCAAAAUAUUGAUCAAAGACGUUCUUUACAUCCAACGUUUCAAGACUUAAUGAUAAAUAUUUUCACUUUGUGAUCAAGUCGCACCGGCCAAUUGGCGGAUGGAGCAUGACAGGGGGAUAAAGUCGUGUCGUUAAAAUAGAUCGGAACGUGGAAGCUGUAAAUUCCACGGCCAUAUCCGCGGUCCGUAUCGGCGUGCCGCGCGAUGGGAACGACGGGAUCGUAAAGAGCGCGCGCGCGCGACUUCUUUUUCCGUGGGAUUUACUUUACGAUACCGCGAAGGCCACUAAUAGGCACGCUCGACGCGUCCCGUCGUCAGCGCCGAUACGCCCGGCGGUGCCAAGGAAAGCUUACACGCGUUUUCGUUGAAACAAAAAGGACACGAGAAGCGCGCGAGAAAUCGGCCCGCUCGACGGACCGGAACCGCGCGUUCGCUGAAUAUGAGCUUCGUUCGGGAUUGCCGCGUGCGAUCGUAAGACAAAUAUACUCGCGAAUAAAAAGAUAUAUACAGCAAUUACGUGUGAGUUUGCAAAUCAGAUGUUCCGAUUGCAAAAUCUGUUAAUUUUUAGUAAUAUUUUAGAAUAUAUGUAUCAAAGAGAGCAUCGCUUCUUCAUUAAAUCAUCAUUUCCAAGAGAUUGUGAGAAGAUAAAAAAAUAUAUUUAAUAUACAAGUUUAAUUUUUUUUUUAAAUAAUAUCUAACAUUUUAAUAAAACAAAAGUCUCGAUUUUGGAAAUGUUAUGUCGCUCGAUUGAGCUACGCUUUGCGAUCGGGAUAAAUUGGGGUGCUGCGCUCCCCUCGCGUGGGGAGACAAUUUACGACCGGCAGUUUACGACGCGUUGGAAAUAUUCCGAAAAAUUGUACGCUUCAGCGUUCCGCCGGAAGUACGGUAUGAGGACCGCAACGAUGACGAUGACGGCGACGGAUCCUCGGCUCGUUUGGACAACCGAAACGCCGCGCCGCCCUGUCCCAGUGCGCGACUGCGUAUCCGUCGUUUCCGAAGAGGAACGAUCGAGGGGAAUCUGGACUGAUGAAAAAGAAGAGGACCAGUCCCGUUCUUGCGCUAGGGAUGCACGCGAGGGACUAAACGGACGUCGCACGUCGAAAACUCUUUCUUUGCGGAUUCCUAGCACGGAAAAAAGUCACCCCUCGUGGGAGAAGGAAGGUACUGAUUGGAAAAAAAGGGUUAUCGCUGGCGUCGACUAGCGAUUGGCUCCCCGGAAAGGCUCGUGAGAGCCAGUUAAUGUCGCGGAUGACACCCUUCUAUUUGGGAUACCGAAAAUGGUUCCCUCAUGAACUGGUUCUCUCUCUUUCUCUCUCUUUUUUCCAUAACUCCCUCGCAUUUUGACGCA
rnacentral:lncRNA from 1 species